rnacentral:rRNA from 1 species
AUUGAACGCUGGCGGCAUGCCUUACACAUGCAAAUCGAACGGUAACGGGCCUUCGGGUGCCGACGAGUGGCGAACGGGUGCGUAAUACAUCGGAACGUGCCCGAUCGUGGGGGAUAACGAGGCGAAAGCUUUGCUAAUACCGCAUACGAUCUACGGAUGAAAGCAGGGGACCGCAAGGCCUUGCGCGGACGGAGCGGCCGAUGGCAGAUUAGGUAGUUGGUGGGAUAAAAGCUUACCAAGCCGACGAUCUGUAGCUGGUCUGAGAGGAUGAUCAGCCACACUGGGACUGAGACACGGCCCAGACUCCUACGGGGGGCAGCAGUGGGGAAUUUUGGACAAUGGGCGCAAGCCUGAUCCAGCCAUGCCGCGUGCAGGAUGAAGGCCUUCGGGUUGUAAACUGAUUUUGUACGGAACGAAAAGCCUUCUUUUAAUACAGGAGGGUCAUGACGGUACCGUAAGAAUAAGCACCGGCUAACUACGUG